rnacentral:rRNA from 1 species
CCGGCGCACGGGUGAGUAACGCGUAUGCAACUUACCUAUCAGAGGGGGAUAACCCGGCGAAAGUCGGACUAAUACCGCAUAAAGCAGGGAUCCCGCAUGGGAAUAUUUGCUAAAGAUUCAUCGCUGAUAGAUAGGCAUGCGUUCCAUUAGGCAGUUGGCGGGGUAACGGCCCACCAAACCGACGAUGGAUAGGGGUUCUGAGAGGAAGGUCCCCCACAUUGGUACUGAGACACGGACCAG